AUAAAAACAGCUAUCCGAGUUAGUUUGGCUAAGAAAUUUUUUAAUUUUAUGCUGGAUUAACCAGAGUUUGUAUGUCAAACUCUCAGAGUUAGAGGAGAAAUCUUAUAGCUUUCCGUUUUAGAGAAGGAUAAAGGCUUAUGUUUUU
rnacentral:ncRNA from 2 species